UUUUUUUUUUUUUUUUUUUUUUGCCUCACUGGAAUACCCAGCUCCUGGAAAUGGAGAAAGGGUGAUUGAGGGUGGUCAGCUCUUACCAGAACCAUACAAGUGGGUGAAGAACAAGCCUCUCAACACUUCCUGGGCUCUUGAAUCCUGUGUCCUCCCAGUUCUUUCAGGGCUAGCAGCUUGCUUAUCGUUAGCGAAAGCUAGGCAUAAUUUCAAAUAUCACAUUGCAGAAAGAUCACUCUCCCUAUCAUCAGGAAAGAAAAGAGAGACACAGAGGAGAGAUGCCUUCUUAUAUCUGGAAACUGGCACUGUCAGCCAUUUGGAACUCGCCUCCCAGACUCUGUCUGGCCUUGGCUUGGAGAAGGCAGGGUUGCUGUGUAGCACAAGGAGGUGCAAAAACAAACAUGGGCACAAAACCAAAUACUUGACUGCAAGAAAUGUUCUGAAAGUUAUAAAAGUGAAAUACUACUUCCAGCUGUCACUUUACGCAAGGAUUAAGUUGAGCUCAAGGGGCUGUAAAAACUAAAAAAGAAAGCGAAUUAUUCAUUACAGUACCUAUACAAGUUGCAGAAGAUGCCUGGGUUUUCUACUGGUGGAUUAUUUGUGAUCCCUUUGUCAACUCAUCUGCUUACUUACUUGUCUUCAUGUAUAUAUUUGAAGACAUGUUGUUGCUGCUUCUAAGGUGAAUUGCUUGGUGUUUCCCGAUGAUCUUACCCGGAACCAGUGCUAUGAAAGAAAGCCAGUAGAAGUCUACGGCUUAGACGCUCUGUCUUGACCUCAGAGCAAUUACUUUCGCUGGACAAAAUGCACACUAAGGGAUGCCAGUGCCUACUGUUCUGGAAAAGGGCGAUGUUUGCCUCAGGAUUCAUACCCAGAUUUCCACAACGUACUCUGAGACUCAGCACUGGGUCACUGGGCUGAAGCUCUGCACUGAAGCCAACUGGCGUUUAAAUCACCAGACUGAAAGUUUGUGCACCACGAGCCAUAGCCAUACUCUCACAUGUGACUCAACUGUGGUUGGAGAUCUGUCUGAGCAGGGUACUGGGAAGAAUGCUGGUGUGGGUUGGGCACACUCAAUUCUAGUCCCAGCUCAGCCUCUAAUCAGGUUGUCCAGAGUAAAUCCUGUAAGCUCCCUAAGUAUUCGUUACUCAUCUAUAAAGCACCUCAGUCUUGCCUAAAUAGAGAGUUUUUCCAACAGGCAAAUAAAGUAAUAAAAAUGAAGAAUAUUUGUAAAUGUAAAGGGUUAAAGAAAUGUGGAUUACUAUCAAUGUUUAUAAUUCCUAAUAUUCAGGUAG
rnacentral:lncRNA from 1 species